rnacentral:rRNA from 1 species
UACGUAGGGCGCAAGCGUUGUCCGGAAUUAUUGGGCGUAAAGAGCUCGUAGGUGGCUUGUCACGUCGGGUGUGAAAGCUUGGGGCUUAACUCCAGGUCUGCAUUCGAUACGGGCUGGCUAGAGGUAGGUAGGGGAGAACGGAAUUCCUGGUGUAGCGGUGAAAUGCGCAGAUAUCAGGAGGAACACCGGUGGCGAAGGCGGUUCUCUGGGCCUUACCUGACGCUGAGGAGCGAAAGUGUGGGGAGCGAACAGG